UACGUAGGGUACAAGCGUUAAUCGGAAUUACUGGGCGUAAAGCGUGCGUAGACGGUUAUUUAAGUCAGGUGUGAAAGCCCCGGGCUCAACCUGGGGAAUUGCAUUUGAGACUGCGUAGCUAGGGUGCGGAAGAGGGAAGCGGAAUUUCCGGUGUAGCGGUGAAAUGCGUAGAUAUCGGAAGGAACACCAGUGGCGAAAGCGGCUUCCUGGUCCAGCACCGACGUUCAGGCACGAAAGCGUGGGGAGCAAACAGG
rnacentral:rRNA from 1 species